GGCUGACACCAGACUUGCCCACCCCUUAUUCUGCACCAUUUUUAGAGGUGCCAAAAGACUUUCUUAGCGAAAGUCACUCAGAGUAACCCUGUCAGGCUUUCGCCUAUUGCAGAGGUUUCGCGCCUGCUGCGCCCCAUAGGGCCUGGGCCCUUGUCUCAGUGCCCAUCUCCGGGCUCCUCCUCUCAGAGCCCGUACCGGUUACAGGUUUGGUGGGCCAUUACCUCACCAACAGCCUGAUCGGCCGCAGUCCAAUCCAGAGGCCAUAUAGAUUUUAGUCAGGAACCAUUCCAGAAAUCCUCACUUAUCGCGGUUUAGACUCAGUUUCCCGAGGUUAUCCACGUCCUCUGGGCAUGUUGACUACGUGUUACUGAGCCGUGCGCCACGUAUUGCUACGUUAACUCGCAUGGCUAAAUCUC
rnacentral:rRNA from 1 species